AGGACGAACGCUGGCGGCGUGCUUAACACAUGCAAGUCGAGCGGUAAGGCCUUUCGGGGUACACGAGCGGCGAACGGGUGAGUAACACGUGGGUGAUCUGCCCUGCACUCUGGGAUAAGCCUGGGAAACUGGGUCUAAUACCGGAUAUGACCUGCUCUCGCAUGGGGGGUGGGUGGAAAGAUUUAUCGGUGCAGGAUGGGCCCGCGGCCUAUCAGCUUGUUGGUGGGGUAAUGGCCUACCAAGGCGACGACGGGUAGCCGACCUGAGAGGGUGACCGGCCACACUGGGACUGAGACACGGCCCAGACUCCUACGGGAGGCAGCAGUGGGAAUAUUGCACAAUGGGCGAAAGCCUGAUGCAGCGACGCCGCGUGAGGAUGGAAAGGCCGUUCGGGUUGUAAACCUCUUUCAGCAGGACGAAGCGCAAGUGACGGUACCUGCAGAAGAAGCACCGGCUAACACGUGCCAGCAGCCGC
rnacentral:rRNA from 1 species